GUCACUGAUGAGUCUUUUGUAGACGAAACACGCGUCUGACGUAAAUAUUAAAUUUUAUUCCUGGUAUCUAUGAGGAGUUUAUCAGCUGUCGAUGGUGGUUAGAAAGAAAAUAGAAAUUAAUUGUUUUUCUUUGAACGAUUUUUUUUUUCAUUUUUUUUUUUAUCUCACUAACAAACUAUUUUUCAAAAGUAAACAGGAUCAGGA
rnacentral:lncRNA from 1 species